CUGAGGUCUGUUAGGAUGGGUAGUUACUUACCAAGCCUGGUUGGCCAGGAGGGAAUCUGUGUUCCUUUUGCUUGUCACAUGCCACAGAACCAUUCCUGCAAAGCCAUGCUUACUGUAAGGCUCCUUUGUUGUUAAAGGCCCAUCCUGUGCAUUCCUGCUACAGCUGUGAACCAAGGGUGCACUACAGCUUCUGGAUUCUAGAGAGCAGGAAAUAGUUGCACACUGAAGACUGCGUAAAUAUGAAAGUUUCUGCUACAGAAAAAGAGAACACUGAAAAGUUUCUAAGUGAAACAGAAAACCAAAGUGGAGAACCCAGAAGUGUGAGGAAGCAAAGGAAAGGUUCCAGCUGGGUUCUGUCAGAGGGUGGCUUGACCACAGUACAAAUGAAGGCACCAACAGCCGGCGCCACCCUGGGGGCAGCUUAAGGUGACUUCACUUGACUGAGACCUCACAACGGAGAGUUGCUCGUAGGAGACCGACACUUCGCAGACAGCACACACAUUCAGACAGAGAUCCAGUGAAACCGGAGGCCAACUGGGGAAUGACCUGAUUGUGUCCAUGUAAGCUCUGCAAGAAGCUGGAGGAGGAGCUGGAGGCUGCCAUGACUACAAGAAAAGACACAGCAUCAAAGUCAGGGUGCCAAGGUUUGUGGAAAUCUGGAACCCAGUGGGUAAGAAUGGCUGACCUCAUAACACUCGAAAUGUAAAUAAGAAAUACUCAAG
ensembl:lncRNA